CCAUAUUAGACUCUGCAAGAUUUAAUUCAGUUGUGAUAAAAAAAAUAAAUAAAUCAAGCAUUUAAAUAGAAAUGAUUGUAGUAGAUGUGAACUCUUGCCUGCCCUGCAGUCUUGGCUCUCCAAAUGAAGGGACUGAAGAAUCAUUUGAAAAAAUAUAUACUACUAAUUUGGACUUUGCAGCUGUGAUCAAGAAAUAAACCUGAAUCAAGAAUUAGAUGAAUCUCUGGAAAGUCUAAUGAGAUCUUAGUACAUAUGAGGAAAAUUUUCUGUAUAAAGUGUAGCAUUGAUGCCAUAUGACAAUGAUAAAGUUGAUAUGUCUGAAUAAGUAAAUGCAACUAAGUAAAAUCUAAUUACAAGGUAUUCUGUGUGUUUUCAAUGUGUGUUUUCCGGUACUUUACUGGAAUGCAAAGCUCUAAACCAUAAAAAGUGAAGGAAUCAGAGUCUCAGUAUUAGUAGUAAAAAAUAGAAAAUUGUAACUAUGUAUAUUUCAUUUAAAAGACAACCUACACUUCCUGAAAAGUUCAUUUGGGAUCACAGCAUUAUCUGGGCAAAUUAAAUCAGUCUUGGCAGUUAAUAUAGCAAGAGUAACCAACAUUAUCAGUUCAAUUUUAAUUGAAUUUUUCUGGAAUUUCUAUGUGGAAAUAAAAUCUUUACGGGGGGGGAAACA
rnacentral:lncRNA from 1 species